rnacentral:lncRNA from 1 species
AUGGGAAUGUUCAGGGGAAUUGGAUUGCCAAGGUGUAACGACAAAAAGGAAAAUGAAGAUAAGGUGAAAACCAGCUUGGUGGAAGAAAAAAAGACAACAAAUAAAAGGGAAGUAAGAACAUUUUUUUUCAGUAUGCUGAACAUACUGUACUCAAUUAUGUAUAUUUGUCACUUAUUGCAUCUGAUGGCUGUCAUCUCCAUUGGCACCUCCUUCGACUGCACCUCAAGUGUUUAAUUUGCAGUAUAUGGCAACAUCUGGUGGCUCUUGAGGCUAAAUGAUAAGUUUAGAAUGUGCAACAAUCAAUAGUUGUCAAGUGUUGCUUUUCACAUGGUGUCACAGGCUGUCAAGAAGUCACAAAAUCAUUAUGCACUGACGGUAUUUUGUCUCCUAUGCUGAAAAUCAUGACGGCUAUUACUGGAAAAUUUAGUUCAUGCGAGUUUGACAUGUAUAUUCAUGACCACUACAAUUGGUGUGUUUGAUAGAUUUUUCCUAUUUGUUAAUUGGUGUCCACAUUUGAUUCCACGAUACCGUAAGUGCUCUUCUUUACAGGACGUUGUUCUGUGUUUUCUUAAUGCUUUUCACGUUUGAGAAAUGUGGUCAGAACAUUGUAUGCGUCCGAGAAAUUUGUUCCGUUACUAAGCUCUGACAAACCUAGUUUCUGGUGCAGUUGUAUGCGCAUGGUAUCUGUGAAGAAAUAAUGAUCACAAUUUGGCCACAGGGGAGCGAAGACAACAUUAAGGACGUGUACUCAUACAAUAUGUAAAGCUCUGUGGAGACACAUGCCCAGACUGCAGUGCCCUCGUGUAAAAGCAUAUCGCUUCACUUUUAUCAUUGCAACAUAGAUUAUUAAUGAACAUUGUAAUGAAACGUGGCAAUGCAAUGUUGAAUUAAAUAAUUUUAAAGCAUUGCAUCAUAAAUAAAUAUCAUCUUAAGCUAUCUUUUAUAGCAGCUUUUUUGAUUUCUUCUUCCAGUUUUACCUGCAGUAAUAGAAACUCCUUCUUUCAUCAGUAAUAAUAGGUGUAUCUUACCAGUAAGUUAUGUACAACUUGUAUUAGGAAAAAUCACAUAUAUAUAUAUAGAUAUAUAUACAAAAGAAAAGAAAACAAACUUUCAGCCAGAGUAAGACGUAAAAA